CUGAAGAACGUGCGUGCUGCCUGGUGGGGCUGCGUCGCGCGUUUUGGUGCUGUGAUGUCCUCAGAAGCGCGCAGCUUCACUGUGCGUAAAGACGCAGUUCCACCGCAGAAAAAUGUGGGAAUUGCGUUUUUUACACAUUCACAAGAGCGAGCCCUUUUCCUCCAACGGAGGCAUCCGCUCCGGUAACUGGACACUCAUCUAUUUUUAACAUCCAACUCGCCAAACAAGCUGGUGCACUGAAGAUGGACCCUCUCUACGACGCCACCGAUUUCAACGCCACGAACGGGACGACGAACGCGUCCGUUAACCUCAGCGACGGCUUCAACCAGUUCAUCCAGCCGGUGUGGCAGAUCACACUGUGGGCUGUUGCCUACUGCAGCAUCGUCGCGGUGUCUGUGCUUGGUAACGUGGUGGUCAUCUGGAUUAUCCUGGCGCAUAAACGCAUGAGGACCGUCACCAAUUACUUUCUGGUGAAUCUGGCCUUCGCAGAGGCCAGCAUGUCGGCAUUCAACACGGUGAUCAACUUCGCCUACGCUGUCCACAACGAGUGGUACUUUGGUUUGGUUUACUGCCGCUUCCACAACUUCUUCCCCAUUGCGGCCAUUUUUGCCAGCAUUUACUCCAUGACGGCCAUAGCUCUGGACAGGUACAUGGCGAUCAUCCAUCCCCUGCAGCAGAGGCUGACGUCCACAGAGACCCGCGUGGUGAUCGCGGUGAUCUGGAUGCUGGCCCUGCUUCUCGCCUUCCCUCAGUACUACUACUCAUCUACUGCCCCGCUGCCCGGACGCACAGUCUGCUACAUAGACUGGCCUGAAUACACCACUGUGGACUUCAAGAAGAUAUACUACGUGUGUGUGACACUGCUGAUCUACUUCCUGCCCCUUUGCAUCAUGGGAUGUGCGUACACGACGGUGGGUGUCACCCUGUGGGCGAGCGAGAUUCCUGGAGACUCCUCUGAACACUACAAAGAACAGCUGAUUGCCAAACGCAAGGUGGUGAAGAUGAUGAUCGUGGUCGUGUGCACGUUCGCCGUCUGCUGGCUGCCCUAUCACGUCUACUUCUUACUGCACCAGUUCUUCCCCGACUCGUUCGAGCAGCGCUACAUCCAGCAGGUCUACCUGGCCGUCAUGUGGCUGGCCAUGAGCUCCACCAUGUACAACCCCAUCAUCUACUACUGCCUCAACAGCAGGUUCAGAGCAGGUUUCCGGCAGGCGUUUUGUUGCUGUGCUCCCGCCGUCGCCAAGGAGGAGCUAGAGCUCAAAUCACCGCGCUACCUGCAAACACAGGAGAGCAUAUACAGAGGCAGUCGGAUGGAGACCGUCGUGUCCACUGCUGUCCAUCCUGCAGCGGCAGAGCCAAAGAGGGCGGGGCUUCCGUGCUGUGACCCCCACAGCCAGCCUCAUGCAGAGGUCACACCCAACGGAUCCGGCUCAGAGACGCUCACCAGGAGCCCGAACAGCCCGUCACUGUAGAGCAAACACCAUCAGGUAGUGGGAACACAGCGGGCUCGUCUCCAACGUGCCAUCGACUCGCUCUUAUCGUACUAAAGAGGAAGUCGCGCUCAGACGAUCUGUUGCUCUGGUGCAUUAUUUAGCUGUGAUGUUUUGUUCUAACCAGGCAGGCGAGUGCAUUAAUACCCCAUCAAUGCUUAGAUUAUCAGGGGGCAGGGAGGCGAAAGGCAGCGGCUGUCAGACUGACCGGAUCAGCAGUCAGCAGUGAUUUCCCACCCUGUGGCAGACAGAACUGCAGAGUGAGCGUGAGGUUUAUGGAGAACCAGAGCGCUGGUGUCACCUUCAUUCUGCACACAUCACGUUCAGAUGCAGAAUCAUACGAUAAAGCUAAAAAACUGUCUAGUUCCAGGACACCCCAGACGUGGACCUCAGAGGCCCGAUGGACACAGUAGACACACUGCAGUCAACAUCACGCUCGCUGGUUUCAUCGUUCAGCGGCGACACUUGACCUCCAGCAUUCCCGGGACGGUUUUGGAGAGCGUGACCCUCGGCUCCCCCUGGCAACAACAGUGUCAAGUCAAGUUUGAGCGCGUGACGCUGCGUUUGUGCUGUGUGGAAACGGGGAGGCGGACUCGGAGCGCGUGAGUCGAUCUAGCACCUGUUGGACAGGAUUAGUCCCUUGUUUUGACAAUGUGCAGUGCAGGGUUCAGUCUCCAGCUAAAUAUAGAGGACUGGACGGGGAAACAGACACAUGCAGAGCCAUUGAUAAAGCACCAGAGGAAAGACAAGGACAGGAAAACACGAGGAGCUUCCCAGUGCAUCUCUGUGCAGGCUGAAGACCGGGGGGACGCGGCACGUCGCUGGCGAGGAGCGAUGCUAUUUGAGCCUCGCAGACGGCAGCUGCACAAAUUCAGUCAAAUAAUCCGCAUUACAGUUUGUCGGACCGGCUUUCCCCCACAGAACGUGUGAGGACCAAAUAUUAUCAUGUCAACAUGGUGCAAGGUCAGGUUGUUACUGAUUGGCUCACACAGGAGGUGCAGAAAAUGGGCCUGUCAUCUUGUCUUUUUACUUCCUGUCCACACAGGAAGUGGGAAUGUUUCGUGUUGUGCAGGUUGCCGCCUGUGCUCAUCUUUACCUUCAUUUUAUCAAAUAUCUGACGGGUUUAAUAAUGUGACAUACAGCGUGAAGGAGGCACAGAGCUGGAGGAACCUGACCCACACAGCUCUGGGAUCAGCUGCUCGUCCGGCUCUUCUAAAAGUCAGGGCGACUGGUGGUCAGACCUGUUGGUGUUUUAUUGUGUAUUUAGCUGUCUGAGUGGACAUUUAAAGUGCAUUCACAUGGUAGAGACUCGUUUGGUUGGUUGUGUAACAAGAGGAUUAAUUCAAAUUCCAUAAUCAAUAAAAUCUGUAUUAUAUUACA